rnacentral:rRNA from 1 species
AACAAACGCUGGCGGCGUGUCUUAAGCAUGCAAGUUGAGCGGCAAGGAGGAGAGAUCCUCCCUAGAGCGGCGGACUGGUGAGUAACGCGUGGGUAAUCUAUCGUAGGCAUGGGGAUAGUCACUAGAAAUAGUGGGUAAUACCGAAUACGUUCCAUGAGGGGAGUAUUCAUGGAAGAAAGGGUGCUACGGCACUGGCCUUAGGUGAGCUCGCGUCCCAUUAGCUAGUUGGUGAGGUAAAGGCCCACCAAGGCGAUGAUGGGUAGCCGGCCUGAGAGGGUGUACGGCCACACUGGGACUGAGAUACGGCCCAGACUCCUACGGGAGGCAGCAGCUAAGAAUAUUCCGCAAUGGACGAAAGUCUGACGGAGCGACGCCGCGUGGAUGAAGAAGGCCGAAAGGUUGUAAACCUCUGUCCUUGGUGACGAAAAAAUGACGGUAGCCAAGGAGGAAGCCCCGGCUAACUACGUG